rnacentral:rRNA from 1 species
GACGAACGCUGGCGGCGUGCCUAAUACAUGCAGGUAGAACGCACAGUUUAUACCGUAGCUUGCUACACCAUAGACUGUGAGUUGCGAACGGGUGAGUAACGCGUAGGUAACCUGCCCGGUAGCGGGGGAUAACUAUUGGAAACGAUAGCUAAUACCGCAUAAUAUUAAUUAUUGCAUGAUAAUUAAUUGAAAGGUGCAAUUGCACCACUACCAGAUGGACCUGCGUUGUAUUAGCUAGUAGGUGAGGUAACGGCUCACCUAGGCGACGAUACAUAGCCGACCUGAGAGGGUGAUCGGCCACACUGGGACUGAGACACGGCCCAGACUCCUACGGGAGGCAGCAGUAGGGAAUCUUCGGCAAUGGACGAAAGUCUGACCGAGCAACGCCGCGUGAGUGAAGAAGGUUUUCGGAUCGUAAAGCUCUGUUGUAAGAGAAGAACGGGUGUGAGAGUGGAAAGUUCACACUGUGACGGUAUCUUACCAGAAAGGGACGGCUAACUACGUG